rnacentral:misc_RNA from 1 species
GUUUUCGCAGGCUCUCUUGUUCUCUGUCAAAUGAGAGCACACACACACGCGCGGUAGAACAUUCACAGUUACACCAACAGCAUAAAGGAAAGGACAGAUAGUGAGCAAAACAUCACCGGUCGUUGGCGUGUGUGCGUGUCCGCUCGCUCAAGGUGUGUGUGUGUGUGUGUGUGACUCGACGGCUCCAUCCUCUGCUGACUCUUCGCUGCAUCCUCACUCCUUCCUGCAUACACUCAGCAACGACGCAUAUUUCAUUGAGACCAGCGGUUGCCGACGACAGCGAAAAGCAAAAACUCAGGGCUUCGGCUUCUCGCCUUUUAUUCAUCUUGAUUCUGGCACGUGCAGAACAGGAGGAACAAGGGAUCAGUGGCACGACGGAAUCUACGGCAGAGAAGCAGCAACAAACGAGAGCCGCUCAGGGACAGGCGCACCUGCACCCACACCUCCACACCAUUGAGGGCGCCGCCAUUGCAUCUGCUGCUGCUGCUGUCGCUGCUGCUGCAAGGCGCACGUUUGAGUCAUUAUUUCUUUCUCCCGCAAAACCAAUUUUGCGCACGCCAUCACUCAUCACCCCUUCAGGUCCUAUACAUCAGUGCACGCAGACACGGUUCAGCAUUUUCACUUCAGAUUCUGGGCUCCAUUCUUCCUAACUUUAACUUCUCCCUUUCCCCCUACUCACUCACAAGCUUAG